rnacentral:rRNA from 1 species
GCAAUACGGAGCGGCAGACGGGAGAGUAACACGUGGGAACGUGCCCUUCAGUUCGGAACAACCCAGGGAAACUUGGGCUAAUACCGGAUACGUCCGAAAGGAGAAAGAUUAUCGCUGAAGGAUCGGCCCGCGUCUGAUUAGCUAGUUGGUGGGGUAAUGGCCCACCAAGGCGACGAUCAGUAGCUGGUCUGAGAGGAUGAUCAGCCUCACUGGGACUGAGACACGGUCCAGACUCCUACGGGAGGCAGCAGUGGGGAAUUGUUCGCAAUGGGCGCAAGCCUGACGACGCAACGCCGCGUGGAGGAUGAAGACCUUCGGG